rnacentral:rRNA from 1 species
UACGAAGGGGGCUAGCGUUGCUCGGAAUCACUGGGCGUAAAGCGCACGUAGGCGGGUUCUUAAGUCAGGGGUGAAAUCCUGGAGCUCAACUCCAGAACUGCCUUUGAUACUGGGAAUCUCGAGUCCGGGAGAGGUGAGUGGAACUGCGAGUGUAGAGGUGAAAUUCGUAGAUAUUCGCAAGAACACCAGUGGCGAAGGCGGUUCUCUGGGACGGUACUGACGCUGAGACGCGAAAGCGUGGGGAGCGAACAGG